rnacentral:rRNA from 1 species
AUACGGAGGGUGCAAGCGUUAUUCUGAAUCACUGGGCGUAAAGGACGCGUAGGCGGUUUGGCAAGUCAGAUGUGAAAUCCUACAGCUUAACUGUAGAACUGCAUUUGAAACUGCUAACCUAGAGUAUGGGAGGGGGAGAUGGAAUUAGUGGUGUAGGGGUAAAAUCCGUAGAUAUCACUAGGAAUACCGAAAGCGAAGGCGAUCUCCUGGAACAUAACUGACGCUAAGGCGUGAAAGCGUGGGGAGCAAACAGGAUUAGAAACCCUAGUAGUCC